UACGUAGGGUGCGAAGCGUUAAUCGGAAUUACUGGGCGUAAAGCGUGCGCAGGCUGUUUUGUAAGUCAGAUGUGAAAUCCCUGGGCUCAACCUAGGAACUGCGUUUGAAACUACAAGGCUAGAGUGUAGCAGAGGGGGGGUAGAAUUCCACGUGUAGCAGUGAAAUGCGUAGAGAUGUGGAGGAAUACCAAUGGCGAAGGCAGCCCCCUGGGUUAACACUGACGCUCAUGCACGAAAGCGUGGGGAGCAA
rnacentral:rRNA from 1 species